GUUGGGCAUCAUUGAUUGCCUCAACUCCCUACUUACUACACUUACUGAUAAUUUUGUGUGUGAUGGAUAUAUUUAUGCUCCAUUUAAUGAUAUACAAGUGAUGUAUUCUUUCAAAUUUAUAACCAUGUUUUUUUUCUAUGGUCAUUUCAGGUUCCUCCAUUUCUUGUUCAGAAGAUAUUUACUCCAACAUUUUGGGGCAACUUUUUAGAUGGCGAUUGGGAUGUCUUGAACCUCGAACAAAAUCUUUGUUUAUUUAUUUUACUAAUUUUCCCCAAACAUAUGACUUUCAGUCUUCUUCUAUCCAGGGAGUGUUGUACUUUGAGCUACGGCGAGUAAGUCAAAUCUGGACUGGCUGAGCUAGAUUCGGUGCUGUCAAGCAAAAGAAGAGUAUUCAGGCCUGGGAGGGCUCGAAGAGAGUGGGGAAGACGAUGAAUCAUAUAGUAGGAACAAAGUCAAUCGACUGGUCCAGGACAAAGAACAUAUGUGUGUGCGCGCUUGCUCGCGCAUAUGUCUGUGCAUAUGAUUCUUGAUUUUUGGUAGAGCUGAUGGAGUGUGCAUUGUGUAACCGUCCCAUAUCUUGGCGUGGCGAACCCAGAUGGCUGUGAUUUUGGGGUAUUUUAUAUUUCCCCAAUCGCAUGCAAUCGGUGAUUCUACAGUCAUGGGCGUGGUCGAAUGUCUAUUUGCCAGCUUGAACAACAGAUCUAAGCCUCAUUUCCUCUAAUUCUCUAUAUCUUAUUUGCUAGGGUUUGCCUUUGCUGAUGAGAAACGUCGACCGCAAUACUUCUAGAAUACUCCAGAUUGCUCAUGGUCCAAGUGGCAAAGUUGAAACUGGGGAAAUGCAGAUCAUAUAAGAGCUGAUGUCGAUAAGCAUUCCACCGGACCAACAAAUGUUGAUCUUCGCUGGGAAACAGUUUGAGGAUAGUAGGACUCUUGCUGAUUACGACAUACAGAAGGAGUCCACUCUUCAUCUUGUCCUAUUUUUGGAGAGGAGAAUCAAUGGAAGUGCAAACAAGAUUUUGCAGACUUUGUUAGGGUAUUGGAUCCGAUAGACGGCACAAAACUUUUAUUAUUGGGAAACCCUUGUUUGGAACACUAAUUGCUUUACCCCACAAGGGUAAACAGGUUCUUGGAAUUAUUGGUAAGAAAAACCUACCUCGAGUUGACAGGAUAUAUAUCACAUUAUUGUUCACAACUCUUGAAAGCCUACAUUUUUGGGGUCUCUUCGAGUACACUACUGGCCCACAUUUAUUUAGCGGGGAUGCUGAGGUGGCGUUUGCUCGAGUAAGAAAUAAGUUAUGUGAUGCGAUCCCAAUCACAUCAAGCUAUCAAAGAUUUCCAAUGUUUCCAGAAUAUUAAUUACAUUGUGGGCUGAAACUUUUCAAGAAGCAUGAACUGGGCUAAUUCAACAAACGGGUGAGAUGUCAAACGUUCGGGAAGCCCAGCUUGAGUCUAAAUACAACUGACAAGCCCAUUCAUAUUUAUAAUAAGAGCAAAUCAAAUUAGGGAGGUUUUAAUGACAAUGAUAUCGACCUUCA